UGGAACGCGCGUCUGGUGGACGUGUGCUUGGCCGCGCGUGUACGGGCCAGUUCGCGUGGGAUGAGCGUGUGAUGGUGCGGAUUGACGUCGGUGUGCGCGCCCACGCCACACACCACGCACCGUUCGUGUUCUCCACACCGGCUUGCCCGACUAUAGGAUCAAUAUAAACGAUGACAUAGCGAGAGCUCAUCUUUAAGCCACGCCUGCGAGGCCGCGAGCGCCAAUGCAGCUACGAUCCACCGGCCACGCGGCCAAUAGGCGGCUAGCAUCGAUUUUUCGCGGGCUUUUUUUUCGCGAAAGUGAAUUUCUUCGCGACGCUAACGGGAGUGCCGGGCCAAGCGCAACAGAGAGACACGCGGAGAAACGGUGGGACGAGAGAGAGUAUCGCACGGUGGCGAGGAAGCAGCGAGACAGAGAUGAUACCGUCGAGUGUACGGUAGGGAGAGAACAGGGAUGGAAGUAGAAAUAGAAUGAGGCGCUACGCGCGAGGAUGGUGUAGCAACGAUGGUGCGAGAGAGGGAGUGUAGCAGGGAGUAAAAGAGGAGACGCCCGUGGAGAAGGCGGAGGAUGAGGAUCGAUGAGGACAGGGUGACUCUUCCAGGGGUAAACGAACCCCCAUUUCAUCUACCCUUCGCGCUGUUAUCGGCUGUCCCUUUUUCAAUCGACGGAACCCCUGCUGCUAGAGUAUCGACGUAGCCCGCGAGUUCAUCUGCAUGCGUGGCCUGUUGCCUGUUGCAAGACGCGGCCGCAUCAUGCAGCCACGCCGCGCACGUACACAUCGUUCGUCACGCUUUUUCACGCGCUCGUUCAAACACGCGACACGCGAGCCUGUCGGUCCGCCGAACAUUAAUCCCGGACGUCCGUUGGACAACGAUGGUUCCGCGAGCUAUCCAUGGGCUUUAACAAAUCGAACCGGGCUAUGGGAAAAGAAGAUAUCGCUCGAGAUCAGAUUUCAGAGAAAUGAAAAACAUUAAUAAAAUACUUUCGACGGAGAUAGAAGAAUUUCUCAGACAAUUUGGUUCUUCUUGUCCCGAAGAAGCUGGAGAAUUUGAUAUUCGGAAAUGAAUAUCUGAUAAGAAGGAAGAAGGCGCCAAUACUCGUCUACUCUGCCCUCUAUGACGGUUCGUUAAAACACUCAACACACUAUCGAAAAGGUUCCACGUCUCGAUAGCUCCACAGAUAACUCGAACUAUACUCGUCGUUCGUGGUUUACGGAACACCGCGUCACAUCUUCUGUAAUACCGAUCUUAUUUCGCCCUUCAUAAUUUAUAACAUUUUGUCGAGUACAUGUAUAUAUGUAUGCACAUGUGUACGUACUUCUAUUGUUGAAAAAUAAAAAUGUAAAAACUGUAGUUGUUAAGUUCAAAAAGUUUAAAAAGUUUAAUUACACCUGUAUGUUAAGAAAAAGUCAUCUCCACAUUUAGUACAAAUAGAACCACAGACGAGAUCCUUCGUCCAUCGAUUACCUUUUAUCGUUUAAAAUUAUCGAAACGUUUACAAUAGGCCAUGAAACCAUUAGCUCACACUUUGCAAUGAAAAUGCAUUUGAAGCAUUCCUUCUCACUUUCUUACGUGUACAUCGUGGAGACACGAACAGGUGUACCUUUCCACUUUCAUUUUUUAUUUAUACUAGAAUGGAAAACAAACGGGCAUUCGUUCGCCUAGUUUAAAUGUACCGUAAUAAUAGUUUACGUUCAGAUAAACGAAUUUAAUGACCAGAAGUUUGU